UGAAUGAUAAUGACUAUUGUUUUUAUUCGUUCUGAUGACAUUUGGUGACGGAAAUACAAUCAGCCAGUGCUUUUUGUUUCAAUUUUGUGCGUGCACGUAAAUAUUUUGUUCAAAAACAAACUCUUUGGAUUUUAUUAAGACAUUAAAUUGCGUAGGCGUUUGACAGUCGAUAUCGCUUAUCACUUGAGUGAUUGAAGUUAAUUGAAAUGGACCAUUCCGCAAAUAGAUCACAGAUCGAAUGGUGGCUUGGCGUAGAACAUGAACGAACAAUACCAUCUUGUCAUACUUAAUGGGGGUGUUUAAAUAUGUGGGAGUUCGCCAUAAUAUUUCGUCACAUUCUGGGGAGUCUGCCGGGGAGAGUUGUUGCGCCGUUUCUUCUCUCACAGAAAAAGCACUUAGGAAGCAGUGAUGGAUAAACACUCGAAGUCGACAUCAACAAUUGUAAGUCGAGGGCAAAUGUUGAUUUAACCCUUGCGUGGAUCCAAUUUGCGGCCAAAAAUAACCCGCGG